rnacentral:rRNA from 1 species
UAGGGAAUAUUGCACAAUGAGCGAAAGCUUGAUGCAGCAACGCCGCGUGCGCGAUGACGGCCUUCGGGUUGUAAAGCGCUUUUCGGGGAGAUGAGGAAGGACAGUAUCCCCGGAAUAAGUCUCGGCUAACUACGUGCCAGCAGCCGCGGUAACACGUAGGAGGCAAGCGUUAUCCGAAUUUACUAGGCGUAAAGCGCGUGCAGGCGGUUCGGUAAGUUGGAUGUGAAAUCUCCCGGCUCAACUGGGAGGGGACGUUCAAUACUGUCGGACUUGAGGACGAUAGAGGGAGGUGGAAUUCCCGGUGUAGUGGUGAAAUGCGUAGAUAUCGGGAGGAACACCAGUGGCGAAAGCGGCCUCCUGGAUCGUUCCUGACGCUCAGACGCGAAAGCUAGGGGAGCGAGCGG